CACGACCUGCACCAUUUGCGAUCUGAAGCUGCAAAUUAAUGGAGCUCCCAAGUUCUCAGGUGGAGUGUGCAGAGAAUGAGAACAAUACUACUACUCCUCAAGUCAAUACUCAAUACUAACUGCAAGCCAUUUACUGAGCAAAAGCAAGAAUUACAAAUUGUAAUUAAUAAGUGGAGGUGAAGCUAUCAACGCAAUCUCUUUUUAAGUAACUUUUCUUAAGUAAGCUUUAGCUCUACCUUUUCCUCACCACCACCACCAUCUCAAACACCUCCAACGCUUCCUCCUCAAACUCCUAGAUCGGCCGGCUCCCUCUCUCUUCACUUUGCCUUUUCCCCAAUAUUAAAAUUACAUAUAAUACCUUUUUUUCUCAGGUUGUAUGGUUGAUUUUGCUGGUUUGGAUGUAUUUGGGUGCAUAUUUUUGCAAGUUGAUUUUGCUGGUUUGAAUGUAUUUGGGUGUAUUUGUCUGCAGGUUGUAUGCUUGACUUGAUUUUUUUUCGUUUUGAUGUGGUUUGUAGUUAAGAGAUCUGGAUUUUUGGUACUGUGAAUGUGAUUUGGUUUGCGAUGUUUGAUUUCAUUUUCAUUAGUCCCGGUGGCGCUUUCUUUUCCGUCUCUUCUUCUUCUCUUUGUUCCGGUUCCGGGUCUCAGUUCCUACAAGGAUGGAACCGUAACUAGAACCAUGCAGUAUUGGUUCCGGGUUUUUGAAACCGAAAUCGACCCUAUGGUGGUCGAUUUAGGGUACGAACUAGAACCAAAACCUAGUUUCUGAUGAUGAAGAUGCGUAGAGAAAAUCAUGGUCGACAGCUGAGACUUCCACUGACUAAAUCGUCAUGGAAAAAUUUGUAUUUGGCGUUGUUUAGAAGCGAAUCAAUUACACAUGGAAUUAUAACAAGACAGACUGCUUCAAAUUUGCAUCGCUUUGUUAUUCAUCCA